UACGGAGGGAGCUAGCGUUGUUCGGAAUUACUGGGCGUAAAGCGCACGUAGGCGGCUUUGUAAGUUAGAGGUGAAAGCCCAGGGCUUAACCCUGGAAUUGCCUUUAAGACUGCAUCGCUAGAAUUGUGGAGAGGUGAGUGGAAUUCCGAGUGUAGAGGUGAAAUUCGUAGAUAUUCGGAAGAACACCAGUGGCGAAGGCGACUCACUGGACACAUAUUGACGCUGAGGUGCGAAAGCGUGGGGAGCAAACAGG
rnacentral:rRNA from 1 species